UAAAACUUUCAACAACGGAUCUCUUGGUUCUGGCAUC
rnacentral:rRNA from 1 species